GUAGGGUGCAAGCGUUAAUCGGAAUUACUGGGCGUAAAGCGUGCGCAGGCGGUUUUGUAAGUCUGAUGUGAAAUCCCCGGGCUCAACCUGGGAAUUGCAUUGGAGACUGCAAGGCUAGAAUCUGGCAGAGGGGGGUAGAAUUCCACGUGUAGCAGUGAAAUGCGUAGAUAUGUGGAGGAACACCGAUGGCGAAGGCAGCCCCCUGGGUCAAGAUUGACGCUCAUGCACGAAAGCGUGGGGAGCAAACAGGAUUAGAUACCCUGGUAGUCCACGCCCCUAAACGAUGUCUACUAGUUGUCGGGUCUUAAUUGACUUGGUAACGCAGCUAACGCGUGAAGUAGACCGCCUGGGGAGUACGGUCGCAAGAUUAA
rnacentral:rRNA from 1 species